AAUGAACGCUGGCGGCGUGCCUAACACAUGCAAGUCGAACGAAAACACAGGGAGCUUUCUCCCCUGCCGUUAGCGGCGGACGGGCGCGUAACACGUGGAUCACCUACCUCUUAGACUGGGGUGACAUCGGGGAGCAAGAUCUACUACCACCUAAUAUAUCGAACCGGUUGGUUCAAUAGUUCUAGACGGUUUUCCUGACACUUAUAGCUGAAUUCGCGCCGCAUUAGCUAGUUGGUAAGGUAACGGCUUACCAAGGCAACGAUGCGUAGCCGACCUGAGAGGGUGAUCGGCCACACUGGAACUGAGACACGGUCCAGACUCCUACGGGAGGCAGCAGUAGGGAAUCUUCCGCAAUGGGCGAAAGCCUGACGGAGCAACGCCGCGUGAGUGAUGAAGGUCUUCGGAUCGUAAAGCGCUGUUAUUAGGAAAGAACAAAUGUGUAAGUAACUAUGCACGUCUUGACGGUACCUAAAGAGAAAGCCACGGCUAACUACGUG
rnacentral:rRNA from 1 species